UUAAUCAUCGUACUGGCGUCAAAUAACGUCAUCGUAGGAAGAAUGUCAGUAUAGUAUAAAUUCGCAAAGUGCUGACCAAAGAACAGAAGGGCUGCGCAAACAUGAAGGCUAAGCUCCUAAUUCUUAUCGCUCUCGUCGCUGCCUGUGUCUCGGAAACAAAAGGCGGCUGCCUGAAGUAUCCAGUGGUGUCAGGAAGGUCUCUGGGAGAAGAGUGCCUGUCCGUCCAAUGUACUACUACCAACGACUGCGGCCCCAUGUGUAUGUGUUUUACGGAGAACAGCGACAGAGGAGUCUGCGUAUAUGCUCCAAACGGAAUAUAAUGUAUUGCAACAAAACAAGCCUGCCACAUUUGUGAAGCCGAUCCUAUGGAUUGCUGAAAUUGCGCAUGCUAAUAGAAUACACCGCUAUUGCAAAGAUUCGACACAGCCAGUUCUGUGCCAAGGAGCGGUCAAGAAAGCUUUACCGAAAAUCCGGGCUUUUCAUGCGAAUAGCUCCUACGUUCGACUUAAAUAAAAUGUGUGCACAUUCGGGGUACUUGUUCU